rnacentral:rRNA from 1 species
UACGAAGGGGGCUAGCGUUGUUCGGAUUUACUGGGCGUAAAGCGCACGUAGGCGGACUAUUAAGUCAGGGGUGAAAUCCCGGGGCUCAACCCCGGAACUGCCCUUGAAACUGCAGUGCUAGAAUCUUGGAGAGGCGAGUGGAAUUCCGAGUGUAGAGGUGAAAUUCGCAGAUAUUCGGAGGAACACCAAUGGCGUAGGCAGCCAACUGGACAAUUACUGACGCUCAUGCACGAAAGCGUGGGGAUCAGACAGG